rnacentral:pre_miRNA from 1 species
GGUGGGAUCUGGCACGGGUUGAAGGAACACCUCUGCUUGACUUGGUGGCUGCUGCUCCAUAUAUACGGGCCUGGUUGCAAGAGUCAGCUGGGGUGUUAUUUCAACCCCUACCGGAUUCCAUU